GAUGAACGCUAGCGAUAGGCUUAACACAUGCAAGUCGAGGGGCAGCACAAGGUAGCUUGCUAUCUGGGUGGCGACCGGCGCACGGGUGCGUAACGCGUAUGCAACUUGCCCUAUACAGGAGGAUAACCCGUCGAAAGACGGACUAAUACUGCGUAUGCUCACAACUUGGCAUCAAGUGGUGAGGAAAGAAAUUCGGUAUAGGAUAGGCAUGCGUCCCAUUAGCUUGUUGGUGAAGUAACGGCUCACCAAGGCAACGAUGGGUAGGGGAACUGAGAGGUUUAUCCCCCACACUGGUACUGAGACACGGACCAGACUCCUACGGGAGGCAGCAGUGAGGAAUAUUGGUCAAUGGGCGCGAGCCUGAACCAGCCAAGUCGCGUGAAGGAUGACUGUCUUAUGGAUUGUAAACUUCUUUUAUACGGGAAUAACAAGAGUCACGUGUGACUCCCUGCAUGUACCGUAUGAAUAAGCAUCGGCUAACUCCGUG
rnacentral:rRNA from 1 species